CAUGAAGAGAGUAGAAAAUGGUGUUUUUCAUAAAUUAUACUUAUAAUUUCACUAAAAUAGUAAAAUGAUAACACAAUUUCAAUUAAAGAAGUUCACUAAAUUAUAAUUUCUCUGAUAAUCCAUGCCACAUAAACUCAAAUAUAAAUUAACAGUAACAGGACAGCCAUAAUAACAUAUGUUAUAUACCUGGAAAAAAAAGCAGUAUCAUAGUACACGUGCAGACUGAAGAGAAGAAGAAAAGAUGGUACCCAUGGAAGACCCAUGAAGAGAAAUAGUAGAAAAUGGUGUUUUUGAAAAGAACCGAACAUAUAACCAAGGAAAAAAAAGCAACAAUAUAUGUAAAGAGAAGAAGAGAAGAUGGUACCCAUAGAAGACGCAUGAAGAAAAUGAGUAGAAAAUGGUGUUUUUGAAGAGAAGAUGGAAGACCCAUGAAGAGAAAAAGAGUCGAAGAGAUCAGCAAGGAGAAAUUAAAAAAAAAAAAGAAAA
rnacentral:misc_RNA from 1 species